rnacentral:lncRNA from 1 species
AAGAGGACGCAGAUAGAAUUGAGUUUGGGUACCAUUUUUUCCUUUUUUUUCGCUUUUUUUGAAACAUUGGGGACAAUGUUUUAUUUAAGUGUAGGGGGAAAACUUUGUUUCAUUCAUGUUAAGAUUUCCUAUCAGUAUGUUUAUUCCCCUUUCAAGUAUGUUAUUUCCCUUUCAAUAAUAAUUUUUUUUUCUUAAGUCAAGUCCCUAGUGUGAAAAUUUUUAUUAUCUAUUCUCCUCAAUUUUCUUGAGCCAUAAC